AUACUUACCUGGGCGGGGUCAAUGGGUGAUCAAAAAGGCUCAUGGCCUAGUAGGGUGGCUUCCAUUGCACUGGAAGGAGGAAUGCCCCGCUAACAUCUCCCCAAGUGGGAGAGUGUACGUCAUAAUUUCUGCAAGUGGGGGCCUGCGUUCGCGCGGCCCCUG